AACGAACGCUGGCGGCAUGCCUAACACAUGCAAGUCGAACGAGGCCUUCGGGUCUAGUGGCGCACGGGUGCGUAACGCGUGGGAACCUGCCCCUAGGUUCGGAAUAACUCCCCGAAAGGGGUGCUAAUACCGGUUAAUGUCUUCGGACCAAAGAUUUAUCGCCUUUGGAUGGGCCCGCGUUGGAUUAGCUAGUUGGUAGGGUAAAAGCCUACCAAGGCGACGAUCCAUAGCUGGUCUGAGAGGAUGAUCAGCCACACUGGGACUGAGACACGGCCCAGACUCCUACGGGAGGCAGCAGUGGGGAAUAUUGGACAAUGGGCGAAAGCCUGAUCCAGCAAUGCCGCGUGAGUGAUGAAGGCCUUAGGGUUGUAAAGCUCUUUUACCCGGGAUGAUAAUGGCAGUACCGGGAGAAUAAGCUCCGGCUAACUCCGUG
rnacentral:rRNA from 1 species